UACAGAGGGUGCAAGCGUUGUUCGGAAUUAUUGGGCGUAAAGGGCGCGUAGGCGGUGCCACAAGUCACCUGUGAAAUCUCCGGGCUUAACUCGGAGCCUGCAGGCGAAACUGUGGUGCUGGAGUGUGGGAGAGGUGCGUGGAAUUCCCGGUGUAGCGGUGAAAUGCGUAGAUAUCGGGAGGAACAGCUGUGGCGAAAGCGGCGCACUGGACCACAUCUGACGAUGAGGCGCGAAAGCUAGGGGAGCAAACAGG
rnacentral:rRNA from 1 species